rnacentral:sRNA from 1 species
UGAGAUUGGAAAAUUCUACAAAUCAAUUUAGAAUCCGAGUAAGUUUAGAUUGUUGAUGGCGGGCUGCGCCUGCAAAGGUAUCUUUUUUAGACGGCAGAUUACAAAGACUUUCUAAACGCUCAAAUCCUGUCAUUCAGGAAUUUUUCUCAACAA